AUGCUUGCUUUGGCAGCACAUAUAUUCUAAAAUCAGAGCUAUACAGAGAAGAUUAACAUGGCCCCUGCACGAGGGUAAUAUGCAAACUUGUUAAGCAUUCCAUAUUUUU
ensembl:snRNA U6 U6 spliceosomal RNA